GGACUGUUCAAAGUCUCAACACUACCUGCUGAUUUGCUGUAGGUGAGGGUUUAAGAAGAGAAACUGCUUUUUCCUCUAUACUCAUGGCUGUAGGAUGGGAAUAUGUAAUACUAUGCUUAAUGCAUCUCAUUUGUGUCCCGCUUCUGGUACUCCGCACUGUAUUUGCGUGUCGUUAGUGGUUGCUCUUCACAAACUGCACUGAGAGCUUUCAGUCCAUGGCAGAGUUCUUUAAUUGCACUAAAUAUGUGCAGUCCUGAAAGUGCUGAUUGUUUCUUGUGAUAUGAGCUUAUCAACUAAAUGCAUUAUCUGUAUGGCAAACAUUGCUAUGUUGUUUACAAACUGAUGGGCCUUCCAUGUAUUAUAUAGUAUAUCAAAUCCCCAUUAUAUCCUUUAGAUUGUAAGCUCAUUGACUGUAUAUCUAAGCACUUCAUAAAAAAGGAGCUCCAAUGGCUAGAUCUUAGAUCACGGGCAAGGCCUUUUGUAUUGGUCUGUGCAUAUUAUAUGUCCUACCCUAUUCGUACAGCGCUAUGCAAUAUGUUGUCAUUUUCUAAAUGCCAGUAAUAAGUAAAAUGUAUAAGGCAAUUCACAACAAUUUGGUGUUUAAUAGGUAAAUCCCACAAGGUAAAAAAUAUUGUUUCUUACUAUAAGAGCUAUGAGUGAGUGAUGCCAAAAGAAUAACAUUACUUAAUUUGUAAAGCAGACAGGUAAGGCAGAAUAGGUAAUGUAUAAUAAAGUGAGCAAAGUAUAUUUUUAUUGUCCAUAUAUUGAAGAUAACUUCCAUUUCUUAUUUGUUGCUAUUAGUGUGAGGUUUUCAAUAGUCUGGUACUUCUCCCACUCACAGAAACUAAACAAAUGCUACUUUGGACUCUCAUUCACGCUGUGUUUUGACAGUAAUUCUCCACUCCUACUCUCUGAUAUCUGUGACGCAAAUUAGUAAAAAUACAUUUCUACUGUGGUAUCACAGGAGUCUGAAUUGAGACUUGAUAACAUACGUGUGUCUGCUCUGAGAGAGAAAAUAAUGCAGUGAAGCCACCUUGUGGAUAGCAAAAAUAAAACACAACAAUGUAGAACUGCCACUUCAAUCCAUUAAACACAAGUGAAGCAUUUAUUUGGGUGAAUAAUGCAAUGGAAGUAAAGUAAUGAAGAAAAAA